GAAUAUUAUUCAGCCAUACAAAGAUGGAUAUCCUGCCUUUUGUGACAACAUGGAUGAACCUAGAGGGCAUUAUGCUGCAUGAAACAAGUCACAGAGAGAAAGAUCCUAGCAGAAUCUGGGACCAGCAGUCAUGCUUCUGAAAUCAUGGAUGGGUAAACGGAAUGAAAGGACGUAUUGACUAUUCUGAAGCCCCAGUAUGCUAGUAACCCUGAAGGAAUAAAACUGCACAAUGUACAGCUGAAAAAAGUCUGCUUUACAAUAUAUUUUGAUUUGUUUGA